GAUGAACGCUGGCGGCGUGCCUAAUACAUGCAAGUCGAGCGAACAGACGAGGAGCUUGCUCCUCUGACGUGAGCGGCGGAUGGGUGAGUAACACGUGGAUAACCGACCUAUAGGGCUGGGAUCAGUUCGGGAGACCGGAUCUCAUAUCGGAUAAGAGAUUGAACCGGAUGGUUCAUUAGUGAAAGCCGGUUUUGCUGUCACUAAGAGAUGGAUCCACGUCGCAUUAGCUAGUUGGUAAGGUAACGGCGUACCAAGGCAACGAUGCGUAGCCGACCUGAGAGGAUGAUCGGCCACACUGGAACUGAGACACGGUCCAGACUCCUACGGGAGGCAGCAGUAGGGAAUCUUCGGCAAUGGGCGAAAGCCUGACGGAGCAACGCCGCGUGAGUGAUGAAGGUCUUCGGAUCGUAAAACUCUGUUAGUAGGGAAGAAGAGCUGUAUAAGUAACUCUGCCCGUUUUGACGGUACCUACACAGAAAGCCACGGCUAACUACGUG
rnacentral:rRNA from 1 species